rnacentral:misc_RNA from 1 species
GAAAUGCGAUAAGUAAUGUGAAUUGCAGAAUUCAGUGAAUCAUCGAAUCUUUGAACGCACAUUGCGCCCACUAGUAUUCUGGUGGGCAUGCCUGUCCGAGCGUCAUUUCAACCCUCGAGAACCCUUUUACAGGGCGAUCGGCGUUGGGGAUCGACCGUCCUAGUGGCGGUCGUCCCCUAAAUCAAGUGGCGGUCUCGCUGUAGCCUCCUCUGCGCAGUAACUUACAUUCUCGCAGGCGGAGAGCGGCGCGGCCACGCCGUUAAACCCCAACUUUUUAAGGUUGACCUCGGAUCAGGUAGGAAUACCCGCUGAACUUAA